rnacentral:rRNA from 1 species
AUUGAACGCUGGCGGCAUGCCUUACACAUGCAAGUCGAACGGCAGCACGGGUGCUUGCACCUGGUGGCGAGUGGCGAACGGGUGAGUAAUACAUCGGAACGUACCUUAUCGUGGGGGAUAACGCAGCGAAAGCUGUGCUAAUACCGCAUACGCCCUGAGGGGGAAAGCGGGGGAUCGCAAGACCUCGCGCGAUUAGAGCGGCCGAUGCCUGAUUAGCUUGUUGGUGGGGUAAAAGCCCACCAAGGCGACGAUCAGUAGCUGGUCUGAGAGGACGAUCAGCCACACUGGGGCUGAGACACGGCCCAGAAUCCUACGGGAGGCAGCAGUGGGUAAUUUUGGACAAUGGGGGCAACCCUGAUCCAGCAAUGCCGCGUGAGUGAAGAAGGCCUUCGGGUUGUAAAGCUCUUUUGUCAGGGAAGAAACACCGGCUCUAACACAGUCCGGGAAUGACGGUACCUGAAGAAUAAGCACCGGCUAACUACGUGCCAGCCGCCGCUGUAA